AGCAGCCGCGGUAAUUCCAGCUCCAAUAGCGUAUAUUAAAGUUGUUGCAGUUAAAAAGCUCGUAGUUGAAUUUCGGGAUCAAUUAAUUAGUCGUGCCUCUGGUACGUACUGAUUUUAUUGGUUUCUCCCUUCUGAAGAACCAUGAUGUCAUUAAUUUGGUGUCGUGGAGAAUCAGGACUGUUACUUUGAAAAAAUUAGAGUGUUUAAAGCAAGCUAACGCUUGAAUACAUUAGCAUGGAAUAAUGAAAUAGGACGUUUGAUCCUAUUUUGCUGGUUUCUAGGAUCGACGUAAUGAUUAAUAGGGAUAGUUGGGGGCAUUAGUAUUCAAUUGUCAGAGGUGAAAUUCUUGGAUUUAUUGAAGACUAACUACUGCGAAAGCAUUUGCCAAGGAUGUUUUCAUUAAUCAAGAACGAAAGUUAGGGGAUCGAAGACGAUCAGAUACCGUCGUAGUCUUAACCAUAAACUAUGCCGACUAGGGAUCGGGCGGUGUUAUUAUUUUGACUCGCUCGGCACCUUACGG
rnacentral:rRNA from 1 species